AAAGCAGCAGCAGCAGCACAGUGUAAACUGCAUUAAACGCGAGGUAAUUAGUGUGCAGAGAGUAGACCGCAAACUGCUAAUUGCGCUGCUCGUGCUCGCCUCCACCUAUCGCAACCUCCAGACUGCUCCCAAUAAUAUCCACCUCCACACACAGCGUGGGGCCCGUGUCCGAACACGGAGCUCCAAAACAGUAAUUGUCAGCCGGGAAGAGAGGGAAGAGACACAAAAACAAGUCUGAUAGUUAGCAUAGCAGCCCAAACGGUUCGGACUGUUCACGAGGCGCUGCACCAGCCGAAGCACAUUUACAUACGCGCUGAUUCACUGCAGGGCAGCCUUGUCCAGGCUUGAUUAGGACGUGCCGGGUCCCGCGCGUUAGGAAUGGAGGCUCAGUUACGGGAUCACGCAGAGGCUCCCUGCGGCUUAGCAGGAGUUGCCGACGCAGACAAAGUCAGAGAAUCUGCGGUCUCUGAGGUCGACAGUAAAAGCUGCAUGUGAGAGUUUGCCCCCAGAAACUGCUGGUGCUGCAGCUUUUCUCUGAAACGUCACCCAUCUACAAUAGAGGGACACCAGGAAGCGGAGCAGACACCCAGGAUGAGACUCAACACAGACUAGAAACAAACGCUGACAGGCGAAUGUGGAAAGCAAACAUGAUUAUUCCCACACAGACUUUAUGAUAAAAAUGACAGCAGCUGUUUUCCAGUAUGCUGGCACUUAAAUAAAACCAGUAAAAGAGGAUUCCUGCUUGGGUUGAUGAUUUAUAUACAACAAAAUCGAAACAGAUUACAAGCUCUUUGGAGGCCGCCCUGGCUGUGCUCCGGGGAUGCUUUUUUUUUUAUUUUUACUUUUUGUUUUGUUUUGAGAAAAAGCCAAAAAUGUUUGGACCAUGUGGCAGAUGAAGAGGCAAAGGCAAACACGCACUUCUGAGCCGGGCGGCUGCGGCUGUCUGACUGAGCCAAACCGCAGCUGAGGAGACCCACUCGAAGAAACGAUCUGAUGCAGUUUGGCAAGAAGGCGAGCGCAACGAGUUCAAAAUGCGCCGGAGACUUUGUUGGGAGAGCAGGAUUUUGAGCAGAGCCACUUCAAGACUCUAAAGAGAAAAUGUCAGCGGUCCUAAAUCUCCAGAGACACAUAGAUGCACCCUCAGCCCCACGUUUCUCUUACAGUAAAUGUCUUCCUGCGCUACAGGCGCUCUGUCUUUUAACAUCAUUAAGAACUCAUUCUACUGUCAUUGCCGCAGUUGAAAACUAUCUGCUAUAAACUAAAGAAGAAGCAAAAUAGGGGGGGCAGAACAAUGGAAAAGUAUCAAAAUGGUGUUGACCUCUGAGCCUCGAAUCAUUGAACCCUACUUUUGAUUGACUAGAAACCGUCCAGAUUGCCCCAAAGUCAGGAACAUGACUCAGAAGUCCUGCAGGCUGCUUCAGGCUCACCGAACCAAUAGUAAGGUGCAGGAGCUGGUCGAGGUCCGUAAGGUUUUAACGUCCCUCAGGUUGGGAGGCUGUGACAUUCUGCAUAUCAUUUUCAGUCGACGUUUAGCUAUGAGUUUGUGGAGAAACCUCGCUGCUUGCCUGAGAUGUCGCCUUGCUAAUAGCGCAGGUUUGAUUGCCAGGAUUCAUCCGAGUCUCUGUUGAGACAUCUGGCAGACGGAAGAGUUCAAACGUUUCAGCGAGAUGUGGCGAACAGGACAGGUUUGGAGCUCUUUCGGAGUUGCGGUGCCUCAGGCCCGGGCGUGGGCGCAGUAAUUUUCCCUACAACUAUCUCCACGUGUGCCAUCGGCUUCAUCUUUUUUCAUCCUCCUUUGCCUGUGGAGUAAUUCUUACAGGCGUCCAGUCACAUUUAUAGUGCCUCUGCCUUGGUACAGUUUUUGCUUUGUUACCGCACUCAAAUGUUCCAGACCUUAAAAGAACAAAGGGCCAGACGAAGAUGGUUUUCUUUCAAAUAAUGACUUCAAUUGUGAAGGAAUAAUAGCUGUCCAUGCCCACAGCUAGUCCUGUGUGAAAAUAGAAUUGCUGUCCUUGUUGUAUCUCAAUUUUUGGCUCAAUUACACGGUCCACACCCAGGCCUGAUUACUUACCAAAACUGUAGAAUUAAGAAACCACUUAAACAGAACCUCACAGUCCUGACUCCAGGUUCUUUAGAAAAUCUUCCUUUUCGCUGAAUGUUUUAUCAAUUAAAGUAUGUUCUACCGUUAGAGCUCCAUCUAUCUCUCCUUAACCUCCUGCAGUGUUAGAGUGACUGCAGAUGUUAUGAUCGGACAGCCGACAAGUGGAGGGGUGUACCAUCAGACCGUCAGUUCCUGAAACCACAUACACAAAAAACUCAGAAAAGCUCACACGGGAGCAGUGCAAUCCCCUCCCCUUGGACCAUAAAUGAAAUAAAAAGUGUGUGGGGCCAAAAGAGCCCAACUCUUCAGACUGCGGGAGGGUUUCAAAGGGCAACUCAAAGCGUGGUUGGUAAGUAAUCAUCAUUGAACCUUAGCUACCUGUUUUAGAAACCUCGUGUUCCAGUUACUGUUUUCAUGACAGAUGUAGGUUUUAUUUAUUUCUGCUGUAUAUCUUAUUUUUAUUCUUGAAAUAGUACUAAUGUCAUUUUCUAACUUGUGCUUGUUUAAUGGCGCUACAGAUGGAAAUUAACAUUUGACUAAAUCCAAUCUUUUUACAACAACGUUGUACAUUCAUUUAUAUGCACUGUCCUGUUCAAAUAAAACCACUUAAAUAGAAUCGGAUUGACACCGUGACAAAGGCUAAAAUACCUCAAAAUGAGGAAAAACGACAGUCACCGACAUAUAUCAGACUGGAAAAGAUAAUAAAGUCAUUUCAAAGACUGUGACUCCAACAAACCACAGUGACAGCCAUUAUCCACAAUUGGAGGAAACGCAUAACAGCUGAGAGCCUUCUCAGGAGGCAACAAAAUGGCUCCAGGAGCACAUGGGUGACUCAACAAGGAGGCCGUAAAGGAAGCCAGAACAACUUCUGAAGCUCUUCUGGCUUCACUUGCCCUAGUUUAAAUCAGUGUUCAUGAUUCAACAAUUGGAAAGAGAGACUGGGCAAACAUGGCAUUGACGGGGAAAGUGACAGGGCAAAACAACACUGAUGACCCAAAAGAACACAAAGGCUUUCCGUCUACCAAAAAUACAUAGACAUGGCGAGACACGGUGGUAGUAGAGUGAUGGCUUGGAGUACA